rfam:Paxillus rubicundulus Ve08.2h10 scaffold_32_c1, whole genome shotgun sequence.
GCCCGCCUAGCUCAAUUGGCCAGAGCGUCAGACUUUUACGGCGGGCAAUACCUCGUGAUCUGAAGGCUGCGAGUUCGACCCUCGCGGUGGGCU